UCCGGCUUGUCACCGGCAGUUUCUUCAGAGUGCCCGGCUCUACCCGGUGGCAACUGAAGAUGAGGGUUGCGCUCGUUGCGGGACUUAACCCAACAUCUCACGACACGAGCUGACGACAGCCAUGCACCACCUGUGCACGAGCCCCGAAGGGCUGCCAUAUUUCUACGACAUUCCCGUGCAUGUCAAGCCUAGGUAAGGUUCUUCGCGUUGCGUCGAAUUAAACCACAUGCUCCGCUGCUUGUGCGGGUCCCCGUCAAUUCCUUUGAGUUUUAAUCUUGCGACCGUACUCCCCAGGCGGUCAACUUCACGCGUUAGCUGCGGUACCAAGAACUUGCGCUCCCGACACCUAGUUGACAUCGUUUACAGCGUGGACUAC
rnacentral:misc_RNA from 1 species